AGGAGAAGAGCUAUAAAUCUGCAUAAUGAGGUCUACCUCAAAGGACUCAAAGACUGAAUGAGAUAACACAGGUGAAUUACUUAGCUCUGUACCUGGUACACUGGAUGUGCAUAUCACCUAAGGAAUAUUUUCACCAGCAAGUGUCGAUGGUCUCUGUGAACAAUGAGCAGCUCCAGUACUUCCCAGUUUGAUUUUGUUGUCACAUGAGGCCAGUGAUUCUUCUGGUGACCAGAGCCCUGCGCCAAAUGUACCUGACUUGCCAAGGCCAAGAAGACAGACUUCUCUAGAGCCUACCGACUCUGCGAUUGAUCCUGGGCUUUUUCUGCCCUCCAUCUGCAGAAGAUGAGAGUGCUCUAUCUUCUUUCAGUGAGAUCGUACAGUCUUUGCAUUUCUCUUUAAACUGGUGACUUGAUGUAGACCACCCUGAAUGAGCUACAGAUUCAUAAAUUGGC
rnacentral:lncRNA from 1 species